AGAGAUUUGACUACAGAAGAGGGGAAGGCAAUGCGAUGACUGAAGCAGACGCAGUGGCAGCCACGAGCCCCAGAAGAGGCAAACAACAGGGAGACUCAACUCUACCGACAUCUUGAUUUUAUCCUUUGCCCCUUUGUCAAAUCUCGUGGAAGGACACUGACUGGUCUUGGAUGAGCCACAGUCCUCCCUGAGCCAGUCCCUGUGGUCUGGAGAAUGCUGUGUUCUGAGUAUAUCAGCCCAGGAAAGAAGCGGUAUAUAACCAGAAAGAGGAGUGGAUCAAUGAUGGGUAUUCCACACAUAUCCAUGCACCUGUCCUUCUUGAUGACCUUCUGUUCCUGACUUAUUCCUACUCCCC
rnacentral:lncRNA from 1 species